rnacentral:sRNA from 2 species
CACACACGGGUUUUGGUGUCUGUCCGGGAGAAAUCCGGCUGAAACCUCCGGUGGCGGUCAAGGCGAACCCCGAAAAGCGACAUGCUUUCGAUCCGGUUUUCCCAAAACCGUCAAAUGCCCGUGGAGGUCAACCGGAAAGGAACUAAAAGA